CGUAGGGUGCGAGCGUUAAUCGGAAUUACUGGGCGUAAAGCGUGCGCAGGCGGUGAUGUAAGACAGAUGUGAAAUCCCCGGGCUCAACCUGGGACCUGCAUUUGUGACUGCAUCGCUAGAGUACGGUAGAGGGGGAUGGAAUUCCGCGUGUAGCAGUGAAAUGCGUAGAUAUGCGGAGGAACACCGAUGGCGAAGGCAAUCCCCUGGACCUGUACUGACGCUCAUGCACGAAAGCGUGGGGAGCAAACAGGAUUAGAUACCCUGGUAGUCCACGCCCUAAACGAUGUCAACUGGUUGUUGGGUCUUUACUGACUCAGUAACGAAGCUAACGCGUGAAGUUGACCGCCUGGGGAGUACGGCCGCAAGGUUG
rnacentral:rRNA from 1 species